AUCUUCAAACAAAUAAAUUAUUGUUGUUUUCCUUUCUACACACCGCCCCAGCAACAGACUGUGUACAACAUGGCGGUGGGAUCGUCAAGCGAGUGUAACGCGGAGGGAAACUAGAAGUUCCUCUAAUUAACGACCUUCUACAAGGGGAUAUAAACUGUACGCAAUAUGCUGUCAAGUUAGAAAAGAACAGACAAGCCUGAGUGGUCUUCAGACAAGCCUGAGUGGUCUUGUAGCCAAAGGUCGAAGUCACUUGUAGCUAAAGGUCGAAGUCAUCAUGACGUCCGUGGCCAACAGAUUUCUGUCCGUGGAUCCCCACAUGAAAAAUGCGUUCUCAUCCAG